CGACUCUCCGGCAGAUCUCUGAUUUCUCAUCCGUUUUCCCCGCCUCUCUCCGGUCUCAUAAAGCCCAGCCCAGCCCAGCUGCGCGCGCUCAGGAAACGCGGCAGCCGCAGCGGCUCCCGGCAGCCUUCUCUGCUCUGCUCACCCCCAGGCUCCGGGCGCCCCGGCCAGGGCAGCGUGGCCCUUGUUGAGGCUGGGGUCUUAGUAGUUGGGACUACAGUGGACAUUUUUUUACUGUGGUCCGGUCCCUCCCCGGCUGUCCAAGCUUCCCUCUGCCAGUGUCAGAGGGUGGGGGUGAUGGUUUCCAAGUUACCAAAAACACUCACCCUUCUUCAUCAAACCCAAAAUGAAAUGACCCCUUCUCCCCUUACUAACAACAUUGUCAGACACCGUUGUCAUACUCGGGUUUGAAUCUUGGCUUCGCCAUUGACUAGCUUGACUUUGAUUCCCUUGAGGGAAGGAGCUGGAUCUUUGUCAUCUCCGAAUACUUGGGCAGAGUAUGGAAAGCUUCCAGCCUGUGCAGGAAUGCUGUGCGAGGCACUGGAGGAAGCUCCUCUCUAGAACACCAGGACAUGUGUGUGGUACUCAGACUGACCCUUCCUCCUCCUGUGACCGUGACAGACAAGGCUAAUGGAUCCCAGCAUUCUUCCAGUGCAAGCCUGACAUCAUCUCACAGUCCUCCAUACAGUCAUCCCUGAAGGAAUGGAGUUGUUACUUGAAUGGAAAGCCACUUACCAUGUUUGGCUUAGACUCAGAUCACUAGGUAUAUUCCGGGGCCUCCAUAAAUUUCAAAAGCUCAGAAUUUUCCCCACAAAUGCUACCCUGCUUCAAUUCUUUACAUCUUUGUUUAUGGAAGCUCAUUUCAUGUCCAUCUCUAUAAAGAUUAGAGAGAUAUUAGGGAUUAGAAAGAUGAAAAGCAGACAAAAGGUCAAGUUUCCACUCAUAUUUGGAAGGUGUUCAGAAAAGUCUUAAGUUUGGACUGUGUGUGAUUGGGUUAAAUAUGAUUCCUUCUGUAUUUUUGUUUUUAAAAAUUCUGUAUUAAGCAAGCAUUGCUUUCUUAGUAGAAAAAAAUGCAUUUUAUUUUAAAAGCUUGUGAAAGUUACUCAGAUUUAUCAUUAUAUAUCCUUUUGUAUCUUUUGAACAAUGGACCAUAUGAAUAUACUACCUAACAAAAAAUAA